rnacentral:rRNA from 1 species
UGGGGAAUCUUGCGCAAUGGUCGAAAGACUGACGCAGCGACGCCGCGUGCGGGAGGAAGCCCUUCGGGGUGUAAACCGCUGUUACUCGGGACGAACUUCCCGAUUCAUCGGGAUUGACGGUACCGGGGGAGGAAGCACCGGCUAACUCUGUGCCAGCAGCCGCGGUAAUACAGAGGGUGCGAGCGUUGUCCGGAAUCACUGGGCGUAAAGGGCGCGUAGGCGGCUUCUCACGCGUGCGGUGAAAGCUCGGGGCUUAACUCCGAGUCUGCCGUGCGAACGGGGAGGCUUGAGUCUGGUAGAGGUCGAUGGAAUUCCGGGUGUAGCGGUGGAAUGCGUAGAGAUCCGGAAGAACACCGGUGGCGAAGGCGGUCGACUGGGCCAGUACUGACGCUGAGGCGCGACAGCGUGGGGAGCAAACAGG